rnacentral:rRNA from 1 species
GACGAACGCUGGCGGCGUGCCUAAUACAUGCAAGUAGAACGCACAGUUUAUACCGUAGCUUGCUACACCAUAGACUGUGAGUUGCGAACGGGUGAGUAGCGCGUAGGUAACCUGCCUGGUAGCGGGGGAUAACUAUUGGAAACGAUAGCUAAUACUGCAUCAUAUUGAUUAUUGCAUGAUAAUGGAGGGAAAGAUGCUAUUGCAGCACUACCAGAUGGACCUGCGUUGUAUUAGCUAGUAGGGGAGGUAACGGCUCACCUAGGCGACGAUACAUAGCCGACCUGGGAGGGUGGUCGGCCACCCUGGGACUGGGACACGGCCCCGACUCCUGCGGGAGGCAGCAGUAGGGUAUCUUCGGCAAUGGACGGAAGUCUGGCCGAGCGACGCCGAGUGAGUGGCGAAGGUUUUCGGAUCGUGAAGCUCUGUUGUAAGUGGAGAACGGGUGUGAGAGUGGAAAGUUCACACUGUGACGGUACCUUACCAGAAAGGGACGGCUAACUACGUG